GAGGAAUAUUGGUCGAUGGGCGAGAGCCUGAACCAGCCAAGUAGCGUGCGGGAUGAAGGCCCUUGUGGUCGUAAACCGCUUUUAUCAGUGAAUAAAGUGCACCACGUGUGGUGUCAUUGCAGGUAGCUGAAGAAAAAGGACCGGCUAAUUCCGUGCCAGCAGCCGCGGUAAUACGGAAGGUCUGGGCGUUAUCCGGAAUUAUUGGGUUUAAAGGGAGCGCAGGCGGGAGUGUAAGUCAGCUGUUAAAUAUCAGGGCCCAACUCUGUUAUGCAGUUGAAACUAUAUUUCUUGAGUACGCACAGGGAUGGCGGAAUUCAGGGUGUAGCGGUGAAAUGCUUAGAUAUCCUGAAGAACUCCGAUCGCGAAGGCAGCCAUCCGGAGCGUAACUGACGCUGAGGCUCGAAGGUGCGGGUAUCGAACAGGACUAGAUACCCUGGUAGUCCGCACGGUAAACGAUGAAUACUCGCAGUUCGGCCGUUUAGGUCGAGUUGUCCAGCGAAAGCGUUAAGUAUUCCACCUGGGGAGUACGCCGGCAACGGUG
rnacentral:rRNA from 1 species